rnacentral:lncRNA from 1 species
GUUGUCACUUGCCUCCACCACCACAGGGACACCAAGGCCCUAAAGAACACACAUGUAUACCCUCCAACGUUUUUACGAUGAAAACAGGGACAGCCUAUUCAAUCAUGAUGAUGAUGAUGAUGAUGAUGAUGAUUGUGGCGUUCGUACGAAGCCCCCGGUCAUCUCACGUACUAUUGACCCGCACACCACUAAUCCGCUGCCACCAACCAGGUCCUCCCCGGUAAAUCACUUAGUCUCAGUCAGGUUAAGUUAACAAUGAAGAUUGUAGUUUAUUGCAAACAAAAAUAAACUUUAAAUGCAUUUGAAACGCUGUUCCCCUUUACCCUCCUAGUCUUAUUUUAUUCUGUCUCUAACUCUUCUAUCUCUCCUCACACAAGAACCAACUGCACUAACUGUCUCUCUAAUUCCAACUGUCUGCCAACUGCUUUCCCAACUGCCUUUUCCCAACCAACUAAACCUCGGGCUAAGCCCUUUUAUAAACCGGUAGGCUCCACAUCUGGCUUUUCUAUUGGUCUACCUAUUAACUCUUUCUCUCCCCCCGUACAGACAUUUUCAAACGAAUGGGCAAACGCCACAAUGAUGAUGAUAUUAUUUAUAUCUCGCCCAUCUGACCGAGUUGCCCCAGCCCCUCUGGGCAGCUGCCAACACAUAUAAAAACAUAAAAAAUGCUGGAAAUGUGGAGAAAAAGAAGGAACCUUUUACCACAUGUGGUGGAUGUGCCCCAAGGUAAAAGACUUCUGGGAAAGGAUUUAUAAUGAAUUGGAAAAAGUGUUGAAAAACACAUUUACUAAAAAACCAGAAGCCUUUUUAGUUGGUAUAGUGGGGGGGGGGGGUGAAAUCCCCAAAAAGGAUGUUACUUUUUUUCUGUAUACCACAACAGCUGCGAGAAUAUUGUUAGCGAAGAAUUGGAAGAAACAAGAAUGGCAGAUGAAGAUUAUGGACUAUACGGAACUUGCCGAACUGACCGGGAGACUCCGAGACCAGAGAGAAGAGACGGUGGAAGAAGACUGGAAGAAGUUUAAGGAAUAUUUGAAAAAAUACGUUAAUAUUUAAACCUUAGAAUAGCUUUGGAAGUGGAUAUAGGCUGUAGGGUCAGAAGUAGAAGAUAGGGUAUUUUAAAAUAGUAUUAUUUGUAAGUGAUAAAAGUUAUUUUAAGUAUGAUAAAAAAGAUGGUUAGAAAUUAUGAUAUAUGUAAACUGCUAAAGAUGAAGUAAAAUGAAAAUCAGAUAGGUGGGACUUGGGGAAGUCAACUUAACAAUGUUUAGAAAAUAAUGAUAGGACAAGAAUUUGUUCUUAUUGUUUGUCUUUUCUGUCUGUGUUUUUUAUCUGUGUUAUAAAAUGAAUAAAAAAAUUUUUUGGAAAAAAACACAUAUAAAAACAUAAUAAAACAUUAAACUUUUUUUUAAAAAAAACCUUCCCUAUACAGGGCUGCCUCCAGAUGUGUUCUAAAGGUUGCAUAGUUGAAGGGACAGAAUACCCAAAUCCUGUCUGAAAUCACCCCAGGUUUCAAUAAUCACACCAGGCCUCAAAACUGUCCAAAACUCCUUUUGUCUUCUAAAAAAUCCAAAACAGCUUUUCUCUGCUUGUCUCUGCUUUUCUCACAAGAUGCUGUGGCAAAAGGCAAAAUGUUACUUUUAAAGGCUAAUGAAUAGGCUCUGUUCAUAGCAGGCCUGGGAAAUGAAUCUUAUCUCAAUCUUAUCUCAUUCUAGUUGCAACACAUCUGAACAAGCUGAACGCAAGGCUUCUCACCCCCCCUUUCUUGGCAAGAGUCCACAAUAGUCCCAAGACAGCUUUCUGUUCAUGCUCAGAGGAACUCAUGGGCAGGACUCUGGAGAAAGGAGGAGGGAACUGGAAAGGGGUAUAUAUGCUUGUGCACAGGACUGUGAACUUCGUGCAUGCUUUUUGUGACUUAUCACACUUGCUCCUUCUACCAGUUCAUGGAUGGUAGAAAUAAAAGCCUUUUCUCCGAAACUAUUCCUUGAGUGUCUGUUGACUCCCACUUCCCUUUCCCAGGCGCAAUAUUUUUCCCACCCGAGGGCAAAGCCUCAUAAGGCUACAUAGUUACUUAUCUCUUUGGCUUGGGGGUCCCAUAACUCCACUCCCUCCAACAUUUCUCUGAUGAAAAUGAGGACAUCCUAAGGAUCAAAUCAGAAACCGGGACAGCUUCUGUGAAUGCAGGAUUAUCCCUGGAGAAUAGGGACACUUGGUGGUUUUUGUGCAUGUCUCUUGGUGAGUUUGGCAAGAGGGGGCUUCUGGCACAGGGCACUGUGGAAUGCCCCCCCCCAACCAAGUUUCAGUGAGAGCGGGGGGAGGCCCAUCUGGGAGGCAGGAGAAAGCGUAUUCCAUUUUCGCCUCAUGUGGUCAAACGGGAUGGGGCGGCCCCUCCUCCAGCCACAAAACUGAUUGUAGAAGAGCAAUCUAUCCCAAUGAACUCAAAUGUAAAAUCUGCCUUUUUCAUUCUGUAUAAUUGGCAAAAGUGUAAUUUUAAUGUUUUAAUGUUGUAUUUUAAUCUUAUUUUUAAGUUGUAUUCCUUCAACUUGUUUUUAUUAUUGCUUGUUAGCCACCCUGAGCCCGGCCUUGGCUGGGGAGGGUGGGGUAUAAAUAAAAUUUAUUAUUAAUAUUAUUAAUAUUGGGUGAAUAUUGGAAAAUCAAUAAAAAUAUAGGUUUUGUUUUUUAAAAUGCCUUUUUCAAAGCAGUCACAUACUUUUAUAUAACUACUCCACCUUACUCACUUUCUCUAAGCCAAAUACACCCUCUGUUCCACACACACACACACACACACACACACCACACCAUGAUUUGGGUUCCCUUUUUAUCUACCUUUCCCAGCUCUUCCGUAAGUGCCACCACGGCCAAAACAUAAAACCUUUCCUUACAGAAAACGCCUCAAACCUAUCUAAUAUAAUCCCGAUCCAGUACACUCAAAAUAUGUGUUUUUAUCACUGGUUGCAGAAAGAUGCAGAAUGCGCCGCCACACAACUGUGGACCUGCCAGGAAGGGGAAAGGAAUUCUUCUGCCGUGUCAAAUGGAAUUCAGCCUGUGCCAAAGAGCAAAAUGAGAGGUUGAAAAUGAAGCAGAUAUAGCACCGCCACUGCAGAAACCGUGCAUUUGCAGAGAUGGAUUUCUCUGGAAACACAUAAGUUAGUAGUAAGUGAGGUCAGGAUAGCUCAGCGAGACUUUAUGAACGGCGUCGAAGUACAUAAAACUGUUCCUUUAAGGAACUCAACAGCAAUAUCAAUUAGCUUUAUUUACAAGUAUACUUUAGCUGUCUGUGUUGUCCACUGAUAUAUAACCGCAAAGCAAUGACUCCACAGGCUUAUUCAGUUGCCCUCAGCCUCACCCUUUCAAUCUUCUGAAGACAAAAAUUCUCCCUUUCUCCUACCACCCCUCCAUGCACACACCUAACACACGCACGCAUAUGGUUUGCGCUUGGGGGCUUAGAAAUCAAUAUACAUCACUGCAUAUUUAAAAGAAGUCUUAAGCAGGGCUUUUUUUCAGCCGGAACUUACUAGAACUCAGUUCCAGCACCUCUCAUGUGGGUGCCAUUGCCAUUAUAAGAGAACAAAGGAGGUGUUCCUGGUGAGUUCUGGUAUGGUGAGUUUCUAGAAAAAUAGCACUGGUCUUAAGAAAGAAUUGAAAGCAAGAAAUAAAAAUAACUUCCUAUAGUAGAGUCGGACACAACUAAACAACAACAACAUAGUAAGAUCUGUGUGGAAAAGCUCUCUAUCUCUCCCUUUGUCAUAAGGACUUGCUCCAUAACCUUUUCCUUGCAGCUAAUUUUUUGUGACACAGGGAUCCCAUCCUGCAGAGAUAUGGAAAUAUGGAAGCUCCUGGACAUGCCAAAAUCACCUAUCAUCAGAUCAAUAAGGUAGCUUUGAUUGUGUCCUCAAUGUCCAACUGUUGGCCAAACUGGCUGGAGCUGAUGGAACAACAAUAAUCUGGAGGACCGCAUAGUCUUCUCCUCUGGUUUGGAAAGAGAUUGUGUCAGCUGUCAGCUGUCCAGAACCUGUUUUCAGUCUAGGAGACUAUCACGGCUCAUGGAAAGGAGCAAAAGGGAAAGGAGCAAAAGGGAAAGGAGCAAAAGGGAAAAUAACAUGCACAUGGAAUUAAGGGAGAUCUUAGCAGGUGCACCUACUAAUCUAGACAGUGCUCAACAGCAUCCUUUUCAUUUGAAAUGAGCCUGUGCACAAGGUUCAAGGUUCUUGUAUUAAUUUUACUUAGCUUUUAUGGACCACCUGAACCCUUAUAACCUAGCUCAAUCACUGAGAUUAUCUAUAGGAGCCUUGUUGGUUGUGCCCCAAAUUGGUACUGACAUCAACACAAAAACUUCAGUGUCAUCAUUGGCCUGCUCAAUGGAGAUUCAGGGGGCAUUUUUUUAUGUUAAUCUUUCAGUCUUUGCCACCAGGAUUCUUUAGGCAAUUAAGAAAAGGUGGGGGGGGGGUUGUAAUAGUUGGCUGGUAAUCUGUUUCAAAGAGAUAUAAAAGCUGUCAUUAAAAGCUAUUGAAUGUAGAAAACAGGCAACAGUAUAGGAAAAUGCUCAAAAAGGUGAAGGCCAAAAGAUAAUAUUAAAAGACAAUAGCAACUGCACAACUAAAUAACUGAGAGAAUACAUCCAUUGACGCGGAGGGGAAAUGCAAGCUUUUAAUGAAAAUCAGCAAUGAAAACUCUGUUUCGUGAAGAAUGAUUUGCAACACAAAGCCAUAGAGAAAGAAAAAACAAAACUUAAGAGGAAACCUAAUGGAUGGCUUGUUGUACAUUAUUUGCUAAUUACUUAAUGUUUAAUGUUUUAUUAUGUUUUUAUAUGCUGGAAGCCGCCCAGGGUGGCUGGGGCUACCCUGUCAGAUGGGCAGGUUACAAACAAUAAAAAAAUAUUAUUAUUAGUUAUCAUUAUUA